rnacentral:lncRNA from 1 species
CCUCCGCUUCCCCCAAGGUUGGCGCCCGGGAGCCGUGCUCUGGGACCACACUCCUCUUUGGCUCUGGGAAUUUCUCCUCCCACGUGGAGGCCCCCACAGCAGUGGACACCACCCAGCCAGGCCCACCUGACCGGUCAGGCUCAAACCCUCUGGUACCCGCCCCACCCAUAGGACCAGGUGUAAACCAGGCAGCGACACCCCAGACGUGUGGUCUUGGUCAGCUCCCCUGGGCUCCUCUCCCUCCAGCUGGCCCUUCUCUGCCCAGGAAACAGUUUUCUGAAGAGUUCUCCGUUCUCGAGCCUUCCAGCUGCGUGGGAGAGAGUUGACCCCAAGGCUGGGACCACAAGAGGCCAGGGAGGGUGGGCCUGGGAUCUGCAGCUCACGGGCUGUGUGACUGUGGGCACGAGAUUUCAUUUCCUGAUUCAUAAAGGUGGGGACCGAUCAAAGCUACUCCUUGGACCUUUGUGAAGAUUAAAUGAGUUCAACACGGAGCAUUCUUGACCCAUGGGCCAUCCCCAGAUGAGGCUGCAGCAUUGCCCCGUGUGCUCUCAGCUGGUGCCAGUGUUGUCUGGAACUGUCUGGACCUACCUGGAAACUGAGUAUUUCUCUGAAGAAGUCUGCAGCCCUUUGGCAGCGUGGCUGCAGAUGGAAGGAAGGAAACAGUUCGCCCUGGAGAAUGGCUAGGCAGCACCUCUGAGCCGAGCAUCCCACCCGCUCUGACUGGCCCACAAUCGUGGGGCCAGUGGUAUCUCAGAGCCCUUCUGUAAGGAGACCUACAGGGUUUUGUCACUUACAGUGAUUGCCAUGGUCUGAAUGCUUGUGUCCUCCUCGAAAGAGCCUUCCAAGAUGCGGUGCCCUCCAUCAGCAUAUUGCCACGCCUUUCUCUCCCAGGAUGCAUUGCUGGGAUGGAUGAACAGGGCCAUGCGAUAAAUCCUCUAACGUUGCCACGUCUGUGCUUUUGCCUCCUUUCCUCUCCGUUGUAUGGAGGAAGUUCUGACAGCUCACUUCAUUUCACGUGGUGUGCAAGCUUCUGUCAAACAACGGAACAAACUAUGAGAACCACUUCCAGCCACUGCUUCUGCACACUUCUCUGCUAAGUGAGUCUCUGCUGUGUGAGUCUCAUUGGUAAAACUACCCUGAUCUAACAUUCUGUUACCUCCUUUGUGGUCCAACACUCCAAGAGUCCACGGCCUCAGACGCCCCUGGGUUUCUGCUGAUGUAAAUUGGCAAAAACUUGCAUUCAGUGUGUAUGUGGCUCCUCUUGGGUCUCACUGUGUGUUUAUCCCUCUGCACCCAACUCUAGUCAUGGCUCUGGGAAUAAUGAGGGUCGGUGGAGGUGGAUCUCAAGGGAGAUCUGUCAUCUUGCAAGGCUGUUUCCUCAAGUGAAGCCAUCACAGAUCUUUGGGCACAGUUUUACUCACCUCAGACUCUAAGGAAGAGUCACUUCUGCUUACAGGGAGACUCAGGAAGGUCUAAUGUUCAGGGGACUCAGAGUCAGAGAAAUCCACCCUCUCCAGUUCUCGAGGUCUCAUUCUUUCCAAAUAAAUGCCUUAACUUUGACUUAAGAGAUUUAGUAAGACAUUUAAUUAUUCUUUAGUUGUAAUUCAUUAGCCUGCAAGAUCAAAUUUGUACUCUGCAUUUAAAAAAAAAAGUUGACUCUACAGCUACAAGAACUAAAAUGGUUUUUUUAGGACAGCUAUAGAAGGGCUCUGGUUCUCUGUCUAUACCUUCAGCUGAGCACUUAAGGCCACAGCUUGUCAUUUUCUUUGUCAGUUCCCCAGUGCAAUAAGCAGCAGCCACCCCAUGCCACAUCCUUGUAUGCAUGGUUUCCAUCCACAUCCUAAUGUCCUAUUGCAAGAGCCCCCUGGUGUCUGAAACCCAGGCUUGUGAUGGGCACUGCAUCGCAGAGACCUCAAGGUAAUGAUUUUACCAGUGACAAUGUUUAUAGAUUAUCUGCAUCCUGCUUCCCACUCCUCACGUGGUCCUCACUGACAUCAGACAAAACCUGGUCUGUCCAAUUACUAACUCCAGAUUCCCAUCUUCAAGGUUCUGCCUUCCUGGAAACACUGCUGGUACCAGGAAUGGUUGGUCGGGAACACUAAAGUCACUCUAGGUAUUUUGGGUAGAAGGAGAUUCAUUGCAGGGAACUCUAGGCUUACAGAAAUGUUGAGAACUUUGGGGACUGAAGGUUAUUUCAGGAGAUCUGGAAGUGCAGGGAUAGAAGGGUAGCAUCCAUUGCCCCCUGAUAACUGUACCACUGACAUGGCUAGAAACCACCCCAGUGAUCCCAGCUGCUUGUAGCACCUCAGGGUGAUUCUCAAACUGACUCCAGAAGCCAAGGUACACUGCUGCCAAUGACUGCAGGGGCCUCUGCAAAACGGACGUUGAUGAAUGAAACAAAGUGUGAUCUACCCAUAGCAGGGAAUGUUAUUCAUCCUUAAAAAGGAAGGAAAUCCUGCAGCUCACGCCUGUCAUCCCAGCUCUUUGGGAAGCUGAGGCAGGAGAAUGGCUUGAGGCCAGGAGUUUGAGACCAGCCUGGGCAACAUAAUGAGACCCCCGUCUCUACAAAAAACAAUUUAAAAAAUUUGCUGUAGUCCCCGCUACCCAGGAGACUGAAGCAGGAGGAUAGCUUGAGCCCAGGAAGUUGAGGCUGCAGUGAGCUAUGAUCUCUCCUGUCUCUAAAAAAGAAAAAAAAUAAAAGGAAAGAAAUUAAUUCUCACACAGGCUACAAAAUGGAUGAACCUUGAGGACAUUAUGCUGAAUCAAAGAAGCCAUUCAGCAAAGGAUAAAUCCUAUAAGCUUCCCCGUAUAUGAGGAACCCAGAGCAGUGAAAUCCCCAGUGACAGGAAGUGGAUGGUGGGCACCAGGGGCUGGCAGAGAGGAUGGGAGUCAGUCUUCCAUGGGGACAGGGACAGCUUCAGUUUGGGAAGCUGAAGAAGUUCUGGAGAUGAUGAUGGUGGUGACAAGUGCACACCAACGUGAAUGUAUCAGGGACAGCUUCAGUUUGGGAACUUGAAGAAGUUCUGGAGAUGACGAUGGUGGUGACAGGUGCAUACCAACGUGAAUGUAUCAGGGACAGCUUCGGUUUGGGAAGCUGAAGAAGUUCUGGAGAUGAUGAUGGUGGUGACAGGUGCACACCAAUGUGAAUGUAUCAGGGACAGCUUCGGUUUGGGAAGCUGAAGAAGUUCUGGAGAUGAUGAUGGUGGUGACAGGUGCACACCAACGUGACUGUAUCAGGGACAGCUUCAGUUUGGGAAGUUGAAGAAGUUCUGGAGAUAAUGAUGGUGGUGACAGGUGCACACCAACAUGAAUGUAUCAGGGACAGCUUUGGUUUGGGAAGCUGAAGAAGUUCUGGAGAUGAUGAUGGUGGUGACAGGUGCACACCAACGUGAAUGUAUCAGGGACAGCUUCGGUUUGGGAAGCUGAAGAAGUUCUGGAGAUGAUGAUGGUGGUGACAGGUGCACAGCAAUGUGAAUGUAUCUAAUGGCACUAAACUGUGCACUUUAAAACUGCAUGCAUUUACAAUGGUAAAUUUUAUGUUAUGCGCAUUCCACUGUAGUGAAAAAGAGUUAACUUCACCUGAAAUGAAUUCGUGUGGUAACCAUUGG